rnacentral:lncRNA from 1 species
AAAAUAUUCUAAGAAAAAGGAUGUUUUCCACUUAUAUAUCAAUGGCAUAUAUUUUUAAUACGUCAAAAGCAUCUAUAAUCAAUAAUGAAAAUACCAGCAAUCUUAUAGAGAACUUAAGCCAAGGAUAUGGUCAGGCACUCACAGGCAAUGAGGUUCAAAUGGCCUUUAAAUAAGAAAAGUCACUCUAGGAGUUCCCAUCAUUAACAAAUCCAACUAGGAACCAUGAGGUUGCAGGUUCUAUCCCUGGCCUUGCUCCGUGGGUUAAGGAGCCGGCGUUGCUGUGAACUGUGGUGUAGGUCACAGACUCAACUCGGAUCCUGCAUUGCUGUGGCUGUGGCAUAGGCUGGCAGCUACAGCUCCGAUUACACCCCUAGCCUGGGAACCUCCAUAUGCUGCGGGAGUGGCCCUAGAAAUGGCAAAAAGACCAAAAAAAAAAAAAAAAAGAAAAAGAAAGAAAGAAAGAAAGAAAGAGGGUAUUUUCAUACAUCAAUGACAGACGUAUAAAUGAAUACAAUUUGGGGAGGAACUAUAGCUAUUAAAGUUUUAACAUAAAAUGUAACUUUUGAAGCAGUAUUUCAAGUUCUGGGCCUUACCACACUCCAUAAACAGAAAAAUAUGAUUUCUAAAAGGAAAAUAGUAAAAGCAGCCUCAUGGCCCAUCAAUAGAUGACUGGUUAAAUGAAACAUGGACCAUUCUUUCUUGGAAUAUCACGCAGCCAUUACAAAAGAGAGCACAUCUCCACAAUGAGAAACACCCCCAUAGUCACCGGAAUUGCUAAAAUAUAAAAAAGAGCAAUAACACCCAGUGUUGGCAAUGAUGUGGAACAACCACAACUCGUAAACCUUGCUGGUAGAAAUGCAUCCCACACGCUUUGUCUGGAAUGCAUUACAUAUCACUUUUGAAGACUGCUUAGCAAUACCUAUUACAGCAAAGCAUAUGUCUACUCUGUUCCCAGGUAUAUACCCAAGGGAAACUAGUGUUUAUGUCCACCAAAAUGUACGUACAAGUGUGUGUCUAACAGCUGUCUUCAUAAUAGCAAAAAACUAGAAACAACCCAAAUAACCAUAAACUGUAAAAUGGGCAAAUCGUGGUAUACAUUUACCAUAACACCACACAGAAACAAAACAAAUCUGAAUCCAAGCAACAAGACGAAUGACUCUCACAGACAUAAGGAUGAGUAAAUGAAGCGAGGACAACCAAAUCCACAGGGAUGAUUCUGUUUAUAUCAAGUUCAAAAGCAGGCAAAUGUCUGAUAAUAGAAGUCAGAAUAGUAGCUGCCUCUGAUCAUACCAUGUCCUUAACUGAAAAAAUUCUAAUUUGAUUUUCCAAAAUUAACUCAUAGGAAUACACCAGUGUUUUGGCAAAAGUCGUGGGACCACUCAGUUCUAGACUACUUCAGUACACGAUUGCAGAAACUCCCUGAUGGAUGGGUAAGGGUUGAGUUUUAGAACUGAAUCAUUAGUGAAAUUUCAAAAUGUAAAAUUUCUGUAAUGAAGCAGAACAUUAGAGGUUCUUUAGGUGUGCCCAGUUCAUGUGAAGCAGUUUUGGAAAAUAAAUUUAAAAGGACAUAAACUGGCCACAUAGAGCAGAACAGGAUUAGGGUAGUCUCAUUUCUUGGGAUGUUGAAGAAAGAAAUUCAGUGAUAAAAGGAAAAACUAAAUCCAUAAAAAGAAACUGGAAGGGUAAAUAUCAACCUUUGUAAAGGUAGGUGCAAUAGAUUAAAUGUGUAGACCUAAAAGUAUACCCAAUGCACCCGCUGAUCUUACUAAAAAUGUGCAUUUGUGUCUCACUCUAAAGCUGCUGAAAUAAAAUACCAUGGGUGAAUGCAGGAUAGAAUGUAUGAGCAUGUGUGUUUGUCGGCAUCAGUACACUUGGCACAAGGUUUUUGUUUCUCACCCCAAGAACCAUUCCAAUGGUUCUGACGUAGUCAGUGGAACAUAGAUAUCCUUGCCUCAGAGAGCCACUAUUUAGAUUUUUCUCUCAUUUAUCUUUACAUGCCAUCCUUGUUCUAGGAAGCAAUCAGCAUGAGGAGAAAUCAAAACAUAUUUUGAUUCCUGGAUUCUGUCAUUUUAGAAGAUAGCAGAUGCAUUUGACAAUGGUAGGAGGUGUGAGAGCCCUAGAGUAAGACUUUGGCUUAAAACCAGACCAGUCAACCAAGUUCGUGACUCUUGUUUGCUCAUGUGGAAACUGGGAAAACAACGUUGCAAAACAGAGAAAUAAUGUUCACAAAACACCCUGCACAUAAUAAGUGCUCAUGGAAAGAUCGAUAUUAUUAUUAUUAUUGUAUCUUUACACAUUCUACCCACACCAAUCUAACCAUUUUUGUUUGGAUAAUUCAAGAGGGGAAUGGGAUGUCAGUAGGCUUCAGACAUGAAAUUUCACACCAAAAGUGUUAUAUCUCCUAUAAUUUUCUAUAUAUAGUCUUCAAAUCUCCAUUUCACUUUGCUUACAUCAUCCUUGUUAUUGAAAAUGAUUUCUAGAGGGAAGCUUCCUAAUUGGUUGACCAAUAUUCCUCAUGAGUAACUGAGCCCAGGACUUUGCCCCCCCCUUACCACAGCACGGCACAUAGAAAUGGCUCCAUAAAUAUUUGGUGAAUGCACAAAUAAACACAAGAAUCCAUCAAGGCAUGACAGGCAUCUUCAAAGAAUAGGACCUGUGACCACUUUAUUUCCCCUUAGAAGUCUAGUAAGAAAACAGCAACUUUUCUUCAAGGACUGUCGGGAAGGUCAGGCUGUUCGUAUGAAAGGUUAGAAAGAGGCCAGCAGAGUGUGUCUCAGGUCACAUCUAAUUACACAGCUGAGUUUAUGAACACUCUCUCUCGUUUUGCUUCCUCUCACAAAAGAAGAAUGACAAAGUACAGCCUAUCUGAAGCUCUCUGUCGUAAGAUUUAUCAGUUGCAAAAUUGAAGAUAAAAAACCUUCAGUAAAAGCAUCUAAUAAAUAUUCCAUAAACAGAGCUCUUGUCGCUGAAUUAAAUAUUUAAUAGUGUCUAUUGUCUGGAGAAAAUACCUCGGAAGGCAAUAAAAUUAAGCAAAUGGAUACAAUUUCAGGUCAGUUAAUCAGUAAGAUGAACUGAGUAGCAUAAAGCCAGGCUUCUCCAAAUUUGCUACUGUGGGACGACAGGACAAAGUUAUAUCUGGCACUUGGCUUAGGUUGCAAGCCCAGAUUCCCUCACAAACAUACCUCUGCAAAGGUGUGUGUAAAACCCCUGAGAUAAGGUAACUCUUGAAGUGACAGAGGAAAAGAUUCCUGUAUAAUUCUGAUGGGCUGCUCUACAAAUCUCUUAUUAUCCAGAAGUCUUCAAAGCAAGUAUCUCAGGAAAGUAAUUGAGAAAUUCACUUCCAAAGAGGGAAUUCAGUCUAGCACUAUCCCCACCAGCAGCAUGCGCAUGCACACACACACACACACACACACUCCCUGUAACGCCACAGCAGUUCUGACUGUGGUCAGAGCACAAACACAUGUGCCCCUGGACACACACCCAAGACGGCUGCUACAGCGACUGCGCUCACAUUCUGCCUCUUUCAGUCAACACUCAAUAAGGACCGUCAACAAGGCUCUGCAGACCUCCGGUGAUAAAGGGGGAGAAAGAGACAGACAAGAGCUCCACUCUUGCAGAAGUUACUCCAGCCAGGGGGAAGAGUAAACAAAUAAACAGAGCCAUCUCAGAUAUGAAAUGCACUCCGAGCCAACAACAGCACAUAGUCCAGGCAGUGGAAGAGUAGGUAGGCAGCAGGCUCAGAAUCUAACUGAGCCUGGGCUUUCCGGGACUGGAAAAGCUCCCCGCCGGGUCCUGAGGAGGGGAGUUUUAAACUGGAACCUGAAUGACAAGAAGAGCUAAUAAGCUGAGGGAAGAUUCCAAGGGUUAUUAUACACACAAAGAAUAAAAGGAAUUAAGAAUUUUGGAUUGGAGCCAACUUGUGACUUAUCUGCAAAGACCAAAUUUUCAGUAAAGGGUCAGAGAAUAAAUAUUU